rnacentral:lncRNA from 1 species
AUAGCAACAGCAGGGUAGCUGAACAUCUUACGGAUGGCCCAGGGCUCCAAAGGCUUGUUUCCUAAGUGAGAGAGAGCCCGGCUGAAGCUCUAUUACCAUUCAUUCUCUAGCCUCCGAAGUCUCAAAGCAUCACUUCCACCAUACUCUAAUUGUCAAGACAAACACAAAGUCCUAGAGAUGGGGGUCUCACUACGUUGUCUGGAGUGCAGUGGCUAGAGUGGAGUGGCUAUUCACAGGAUUCUUGAAAUGGACUGUAAAAGUCUGGAGUCAAGACUUUGUGUUUCCUCUCUAACAUGUAAAGAGCUUAGAAGUUGUUGCUACUGCCCUUACAACAAAUUGAAGCUGGACAAACUGAAAAUCAAUGACUUUUCUUGGACUCACUAUAGAGCUGAGUUUGCAGAGUAAACCACUACCCUGAAAUCUGGAGAGGCAGGUGCACCCAUAGAGUCUCAGCUGAGAUCCAAUUACCUGAAAUAGAAGCUGCCAUUAGGAACACUUAAAUG